GGCGAACGGGUGAGUAACACGUGAGUAACCUGCCCUGGACUCUGGGAUAACCCCGAGAAAUCGGAGCUAAUACCGGAUAGGACCUGGAACCGCAUGGUUUUGGGUGGAAAGUUUUUCGGUCUGGGAUGGACUCGCGGCCUAUCAGCUUGUUGGUGAGGUAAUGGCUCACCAAGGCGUCGACGGGUAGCCGGCCUGAGAGGGUGACCGGCCACACUGGGACUGAGACACGGCCCAGACUCCUACGGGAGGCAGCAGUGGGGAAUAUUGCACAAUGGGCGCAAGCCUGAUGCAGCAACGCCGCGUGAGGGAUGACGGCCUUCGGGUUGUAAACCUCUUUUAGUAGGGAAGAAGGGCUUCGGCUUGACGGUACCUGCAGAAAAAGCACCGGCUAACUACGUGCCAGCAGCCGCGGUAAUACGUAGGGUGCGAGCGUUGUCCGGAAUUAUUGGGCGUAAAGAGCUCGUAGGCGGUUUGUCACGUCUGCUGUGAAAUCCCGAGGCUCAACCUCGGGCCUGCAGUGGGUACGGGCAGACUGGAGUGCGGUAGGGGAGAAUGGAAUUCCUGGUGUAGCGGUGGAAUGCGCAGAUAUCAGGAGGAACACCGAUGGCGAAGGCAGUUCUCUGGGCCGUAACUGACGCUGAGGAGCGAAAGCGUGGGGAGCGAACAGGAUUAGAUACCCUGGUAGUCC
rnacentral:rRNA from 1 species